rnacentral:rRNA from 1 species
CUUUUGGAGCGGCCGAUGUCUGAUUAGCUAGUUGGUGAGGUAAAGGCUUACCAAGGCGUCGAUCAGUAGCUGGUCUGAGAGGACGACCAGCCACACUGGGACUGAGACACGGCCCAGACUCCUACGGGAGGCAGCAGUGGGGAAUUUUGGACAAUGGGGGAAACCCUGAUCCAGCCAUGCCGCGUGAGUGAAGAAGGCCUUCGGGUUGUAAAGCUCUUUCAGCCGGAACGAAACGGUCACGGCUAAUACCUGUGAUUACUGACGGUACCGGAAGAAGAAGCACCGGCUAACUACGUGCCAGCAGCCGCGGUAAUACGUAGGGUGCGAGCGUUAAUCGGAAUUACUGGGCGUAAAGCGUGCGCAGGCGGUUUUGUAAGUCAGAUGUGAAAUCCCCGGGCUUAACCUGGGAACUGCGUUUGAAACUACAAAGCUAGA